rnacentral:piRNA from 1 species
UACUGUGGGAAGUCCUUUUGCCAGA